rnacentral:rRNA from 1 species
ACUCGAACGAACUUCCGUUAAUUGAUUAUGACGUACUUGUACUGAUUGAGAUUUUAACACGAAGUGAGUGGCGAACGGGUGAGUAACACGUGGGUAACCUGCCCAGAAGUAGGGGAUAACACCUGGAAACAGAUGCUAAUACCGUAUAACAGAGAAAACCGCAUGGUUUUCUUUUAAAAGAUGGCUCUGCUAUCACUUCUGGAUGGACCCGCGGCGUAUUAGCUAGUUGGUGAGGUAAAGGCUCACCAAGGCAGUGAUACGUAGCCGACCUGAGAGGGUAAUCGGCCACAUUGGGACUGAGACACGGCCCAGACUCCUACGGGAGGCAGCAGUAGGGAAUCUUCCACAAUGGACGCAAGUCUGAUGGAGCAACGCCGCGUGAGUGAAGAAGGGUUUCGGCUCGUAAAGCUCUGUUGUUAAAGAAGAACGUGGGUAAGAGUAACUGUUUACCCAGUGACGGUAUUUAACCAGAAAGCCACGGCUAACUACGUGCCAGCAGCCGCGGUAAUACGUAGGUGGCAAGCGUUAUCCGGAUUUAUUGGGCGUAAAGCGAGCGCAGGCGGUCUUUUAAGUCUAAUGUGAAAGCCUUCGGCUCAACCGAAGAAGUGCAUUGGAAACUGGGAGACUUGAGUGCAGAAGAGGACAGUGGAACUCCAUGUGUAGCGGUGAAAUGCGUAGAUAUAUGGAAGAACACCAGUGGCGAAGGCGGCUGUCUGGUCUGCAACUGACGCUGAGGCUCGAAAGCAUGGGUAGCGAACAGGAUUAGAUACCCUGGUAGUCCAUGCCGUAAACGAUGAUUACUAAGUGUUGGAGGGUUUCCGCCCUUCAGUGCUGCAGCUAACGCAUUAAGUAAUCCGCCUGGGGAGUACGACCGCAAGGUUGAAACUCAAAAGAAUUGACGGGGGCCCGCACAAGCGGUGGAGCAUGUGGUUUAAUUCGAAGCUACGCGAAGAACCUUACCAGGUCUUGACAUCUUCUGACAGUCUAAGAAAUAAGAGGUUCCCUUCGGGGACGAAUGACAGGUGGUGCAUGGUUGUCGUCAGCUCGUGCCUGGAAAUGUUGGGUAAGUCCCGCAACGAGCGCAACCUUAUUACUAGUUGCCAGCAUUAAUUGGGCCCUCAUUGGAACUGCCGGUGAAAAACCGGAGGAAGGUGGGGACAACUCAAAUCUCUGGCCCUUUGACCGGGCUACCACGUGUUCAAUGGAUGUCAACCAGUCCGGAACCCCGG